rnacentral:rRNA from 1 species
GACGAACGCUGGCGGCGUGCUUAACACAUGCAAGUCGAACGGAAAGGCCCUGCUUUUGUGGGGUGCUCGAGUGGCGAACGGGUGAGUAACACGUGAGUAACCUGCCCUUGACUUUGGGAUAACUUCAGGAAACUGGGGCUAAUACCGGAUAGGAGCUCCUGCUGCAUGGUGGGGGUUGGAAAGUUUCGGCGGUUGGGGCUGGACUCGCGGCUUAUCAGCUUGUUGGUGGGGUAGUGGCUUACCAAGGCUUUGACGGGUAGCCGGCCUGAGAGGGUGACCGGCCACAUUGGGACUGAGAUACGGCCCAGACUCAUACGGGAGGCAGCGGUGGAGAAUAUUGCACAAUGGGCGGAAGCCUGAUGCAGCAACGCCGCGUGCGGGAUGACGGCCUUCGGGUUGUAAACCGCUUUCGCCUGUGACGAAGCGUGAGUGACGGUAAUGGGUAAAGAAGCACCGGCUAACUACGUG